UACGGGGGGGGCAAGCGUUGUUCGGAAUUACUGGGCGUAAAGGGCUCGUAGGCGGCCAACUAAGUCAGUUGUGAAAUCCCUCGGCUUAACCGGGGAAUUGCGUCUGAUACUGGAUGGCUUGAGUUUGGGAGAGGGAUGCGGAAUUCCAGGUGUAGCGGUGAAAUGCGUAGAUAUCUGGAGGAACACCGGUGGCGAAGGCGGCAUCCUGGACCAACACUGACGCUGAGACGCGAAAGCGUGGGGAGCGAACAGG
rnacentral:rRNA from 1 species